CUUGUAUGGAAAUAUGUUUAAGAAAUAUAGAAAUAUGUGUCAAAAUAUGCUUCAAGAAAUAUGGGCAUAUUCUGAUCCUAUUUACUUAGCACUAGCAUAAGCAUAUUUCCAUAAAGAGAAUAGAGUAUGCCUCUGUUAAGGUUCUUGAUAGCCUGAAUCAAAUACCUGAGUACAAAGUCACACCAAUUGUACUUGUUCAUCUCAUCAAGACCGAGAGAUAUUUCAGGAAUCUUGCAUUCACAUUCUAUGAACUAUUGGAGCAUAAGAUACAACAUAGCACAGUGGACGCGUAAGUCGAGCAGGUGAGUUUAUUUUCUGCCUCUUUGAGACGAUUUUGGAAGUUUUUGACAUGUGGACCCCUGCUUCUUCCAUCAGCAAUACGAUCGAAGACAUGUGGACCCCUGGUUCUUCCGGUAGCCCGUCGCCAUUUCUAUCACAUUUGCUAGCUCAAUCUCUACUUCUCUAUUCUCCCCUAACUCUAGUUCUCCUGUUUCUGUGUUCACUCUAUGAACUAAAUAACUAGCGAAAUUCUCUGGUAUGCUUUAUCCCUUGACCUUUACUCCCAACGCGUUUGCACGCCAGGACUCAUCGAUUUAUUCAAAUUGCCUACGAUCUCGGGGACGCAUCUGUGCUUGAAAUGGGGGGUAUGGUUUAUCAAAACUUUCUUGGGUCGACCCAUCUUUUUGGCUUCCUUGACUUUGGGUCCUUCCAUGCAUCCUAAUUUGGUCAAAUAGAAGAAAUUUGAACGCACCUCACAACAAGAUAUAUUAAUAUCAAUGCACAUGUAACAAUACCAUGAACAAUAACAUGUAUAUAAGAUAAAUGAUAAAUCAUCUAAAUCAUAAACAUAGUAUCUAUGGCAGCCUACAAGAUUUUUAGUGUUACAGUCAUGUAUGGUGGUCUGUAAGAUUUUAAAAUGACAAACCACAAGCCUAGAACAAGUAUGGAUAACUUAGCUAAACAAUCAUGGGUCAUUUCAGUGGUAAUGGAUGGGUAACUUCACUGACAUGAGUGAUUUAGCUGAUCAAGAAUGGGCCAUUUCAGUUAAAAUGAGUGGGUAACUUAGCGGGUCAUUUCAGGUGAAAUAACUUUAUCAGCAGAUACAACUCAGUUGGCAACCCAUCUGGGCCAGGAGCCGAUUUUUUGCAAUGAAAUAGGGAGCCGCGGGCUCCUUGAUUCAAAAAAGGUACCUAAUGAUGCUUCGGUUGAGACAGAAGAGCGCGAGCAUUUCAGGCAAAAGCAUUUCAGGUGUGCUCGUUCCUGAAAUGUUUUUCACAAGAAGCUAGUCAGAAAAGGGGCAUGCAGCUAAGCGAUUCUAACUGCUCUUGGUUUUCUUACUCAUUGCUCUUGGUUUCCGACGUGGGUGUUGGUCCGGAUAACAUAUCUUAACAAGGGAUAUAAAAGGGCGAAGGAUUGUAAAAAGAUUUUUUUAUUCUUGGUGGUGGUUUUGUUUCUGUGAAUAAAAGGAAGAGGUCGCCAAGGCGCGGAGUGAUGAGUAUAGCCCAUUAGUAGACCGCAAGCGCAAAUCAAAAUCCCCACUAGAGCCGGAGGCAAGGGCCUCCCCAAUAUGCAGCGGCUGCUCGCGCGAACUAGUAGGGAUCAAGCUCCCGUGCUCUUCCAUCUCAACCGAAGCUUCAUUAGGUACGUUUUUUUUUGAAUUAAGGAGCCCGCAGCUCCCUAUUUCAUUGCAAGAAACCGGUUCCUUGCCCAGAUGGGCUGCCGGCUGAGUUGUAUCUGCUGAUAAAGUUAUUUCCCCUGAAAUGACCCGCUAAGUUACCCAUUCAUUUGAACUGAAAUGGCCCAUUCUUGAUCAGCUAAAUUAUUCAUGUCAGUGAAGUUACCCACCCAUUACCACUGAAAUGACCCAUGAUUUUUUAUCUAAGCUAUCCAUUCUUGUUAUAGGCUUGUUGUUUGUCAUUUUGAAAUCUUGCAGACCACCAUACAUGAGAGUGACACUAAAAAUCUUGUAGGCUGCCAUAGAUAUGAUGUUUAAGAUUUAGAUGAUUUAUCAUUUAGCUUAUAUACAUGUUAUUGUCCAUGAUAUUGUUACAUGUACAUUGAUAUUAAUUUAUCUUGUUGUGGGGCUGCGUUCAAAUUUCUUCUAUUUGACCAAAUUAGGAUAGAUGGAAGGGCCCAAAGUCAAGGAAGUUAAAAAGAUGGGUGGACCCAAGAAAAGAAAGUUUUGAUAAACCAUACCCCAUUUCAAGCACAGAUGUGUCCCCGAGAUCGUUGGCAAUUUGAAUGAAUCGCUUAGUCCUGGUAUGCCAGAUGAAGUGAAGAGGUCGCCAUUUGCUAGCACGCUGGGAAUAAAGGUCAAGGAAGAAAGCAUACCAGAGAAUUUCGCUAGUUAUUUAGUUCAUAGAGUGAACCCAGAAACAAGAGAACUGGAGUUAGGAGAGAUUAGAGAAGUAAACAUUAAGCUGGCAAAUGUGAUAGAAAUGGCGACGGGCAUGAAGAAUGAAGGGCAAGAAGUACCAAUUGACAUUGGCAAACUUCUGAGUGGCAAAAAUACUAGCAAACCCUUCUGCCAGAAAAUCCAUAUCUCCGAUCGUACUACUGACGGAAGAAGUAGGGGUCCACAUGUCAAAAACUUCCAAAAUCGUCUCAAAGAGGCAGAAAAGAAACUCACAUGCUCGACUUACACGUCCAUUGUGUUGUGUUGUAUCUUAUGCUCUAACAGUUCACAGAAUGUGGAUGCAAGAUACCUGAAAUAUGUCUCUAGUCUUGAUGAGAUGAACAAAUAUAAUUGGUGUGACUUUGUACUCAGGUAUUUGACUCAUGCUAUCAAGAAACUUAACAAAGGCAUUUUGCAUUCUCUUUAUGGAAAUAUGCUUAUGCUAGUGGUAAGUAAAGAGGACCAGAACAUGCCCAUAUUUAUUGAAUCAUAUUUUGAAACAUAUUUCUAUAUUUCUGAAACAUAUUUCCACACAGGCCAUAUUUCUUGACAUGGCGGUGGGCCGGGACAUGCCCAGAGGUUUUCCACAGACCUCGAUUAUAGUGGACGCGGAUCUAAAGUGGCUGAGGAGACACCACGGAACAUGGGACAAAUUGAAGGUGCCUAAACCAAAAUCCACCACUAUAGGAGAAUGAAUAGAAAUUCGAAAUUUAGGCAAAUCCUUGCUUUUGCAACUGAGAAAGUUUUCUGAGAGUAUUUACUGUGACAAAUAUGUCAAAAAUAAAGAAGGUGAAACAUCUCGGUCUAAAGAAGAUGGAGAUGUGUCACAAGUGGAUGUAAGUCAAUAUACAUAAGGUGAUGCCAUAGUGCUAAUUUUUCAGUAUAGUAUCUAAUAUUUUAAUAAUUCUCACUUUUUCAGGGUGAAAUGCAUGAUGUCGAUCAAUUAUCUUAAGUCGUUAUGUCCGCAGAAGACCGGAGUGACAUUAGUGAGGAAAAACUUAACACUAUGCGUCGUUGGCUGCUGAAACAGAGCAUCACCGAGCUGCUGGAGCAUCGUCGGUGCUGUAACGGAGCUCGCCGUGUCGCGCGGAGCGUCGUCAGUGCUGCAAGGGAGCUUGCCGGCCCGCAGAAUAUUGUCUGUGCUGUAACGGAGCAUCAUCGGGCCAUCAAAACUUCAAGGGUCAUUCCCGAACUUAAACUUCUUCAGAACAAGCCCGUGUCCAGGAAAGGGGCAACCACAAACGCCAUCCUUUACAAAAAUCUCACAAUUUCUAUUGGUUCUUUCCUACACAAGUUUAAUCUAGUAUUUGCAACAUGCUUCAGGUAGUUGUUAUUGAAGACGACAUCCAACCAAGGCGAAAAUAUGCACAAAACUUUAAGUAUCCUGCAAAUGAUGAUAGUAUAGCCCUCACACUUCUAUGUAGGGACCUUCGAGGCCUUGCACAUGAAGCUUAGUUCACCUCUAAUUUAAUUGUUCUAUACUUUGAGUAAGUAAGUAAGUAUUGCUUUUUUGGAAUCUACUAUUUGUAGAAUCUACUUUUAUUCACUUUUCUCAUAACAACUAUGACUUUAACUUUAUUUACUGUAGUCGUCUGAAUAGGUUACUACCGCUGAAGGCUAUUGAAAAUCUUUAGGUGAUUUGGUGAGUUAGGAGUUGUAAUGGACAUGAAAGACUGCUCAUUGAGAACUACAUAUGAUUUUCCACUGAUUUUAUUUGUUGUCUUCUCAAAUUCUGAUGUACUUAAAAUUUGAGUUGUGGAGCCUAAAUUUUGGAACGUACGAGGAUGCACAUAGUUGGAAUCAAUGAGAAAGGUAUGUGACAUUAUGUUUUUCUAAUAGCUACAGGUCUGAAAAUAUACCUAUUGUGUUUACUGUGGAUAUACUUGUAAGGAUAUGACAAACACAGUUACUUUGCUUGAAGAAAUCGCCUUUUUAGGAAGUCAUGUACUAACAACCAUUCCACAAAAUGCAGACACAUAAGAGUUUAUGGCACCAGAACUCUUCACUGGCAAUUAUAAUGAGUUGGUGGACAUAUAUUCGUUUGGGAUGUGCAUGCCUGAAAUGAAAAGAAAAUGAUGGAAAAGACUUGGACCUUGCUCAAUGCUUGGAACUACACCUCUCCAAACAUCCUUGUUGCUUGAUGCCAAGAGGAUUUCUGCAAGAGGCUGGAACUAUGUUUCUCUACAGUUCUCCAUUCGGGCAUUUCUAUGAUUUGAGCUUUCUUCUGACAAAAUUGUGCUGGUUCUAGUUGUAAAACAUAUUUCCUAUUACAGAAGAGAAAGAGAGGAAGUAAAUAGGGGUAAGCCAAGGGCUAGCCUAAAAUCCCAAAAGGACUAUUUCCUGAGGUAUUUGUCGCCGGCCAACCUGUCAUCAACUGAGCGGUUGGUGCUUGAACAAUGACAUUCACUCGGAGGGAGUUUUGAUUAAAAGUUUGUGAAUUAUCAUGCAUGGAACAUGUAUACUUUGUAAAAAAUUCAUUGUAUUAUAUAUUAUAUAAAAGCGACAAAGUAGUGUUCUGGUCAUUGCUUUAGUAAAA